rnacentral:rRNA from 1 species
GGAAAGGCGCGCGAUACAGGGUGACAGCCCCGUACACAAAAAUGCACAUGCUGUGAGCUCGAUGAGUAGGGCGGGACACGUGGUAUCCUGUCUGAAUAUGGGGGGACCAUCCUCCAAGGCUAAAUACUCCUGACUGACCGAUAGUGAACCAGUACCGUGAGGGAAAGGCGAAAAGAACCCCGGCGAGGGGAGUGAAAAAGAACCUGAAACCGUGUACGUACAAGCAGUGGGAGCACGCUUAGGCGUGUGACUGCGUACCUUUUGUAUAAUGGGUCAGCGACUUAUAUUCUGUAGCAAGGUUAACCGAAUAGGGGAGCCGAAGGGAAACCGAGUCUUAACUGGGCGUUAAGUUGCAGGGUAUAGACCCGAAACCCGGUGAUCUAGCCAUGGGCAGGUUGAAGGUUGGGUAACACUAACUGGAGGACCGAACCGACUAAUGUUGAAAAAUUAGCGGAUGACUUGUGGCUGGGGGUGAAAGGCCAAUCAAACCGGGAGAUAGCUGGUUCUCCCCGAAAGCUAUUUAGGUAGCGCCUCGUGAAUUCAUCUCCGGGGGUAGAGCACUGUUUCGGCAAGGGGGUCAUCCCGACUUACCAACCCGAUGCAAACUGCGAAUACCGGAGAAUGUUAUCACGGGAGACACACGGCGGGUGCUAACGUCCGUCGUGAAGAGGGAAACAACCCAGACCGCCAGCUAAGGUCCCAAAGUCAUGGUUAAGUGGGAAACGAUGUGGGAAGGCCCAGACAGCCAGGAUGUUGGCUUAGAAGCAGCCAUCAUUUAAAGAAAGCGUAAUAGCUCACUGGUCGAGUCGGCCUGCGCGGAAGAUGUAACGGGGCUAAACCAUGCACCGAAGCUGCGGCAGCGACGCUGAUGCGUUGUUGGGUAGGGGAGCGUUC